CAGCCGCCGCGGUAAUACCGGCAGCUCAAGUGAUGGCCGCUAUUAUUGGGCCUAAAGCGUCCGUAGCCGGCUAGACAGGUCCGUCGGGAAAUCCACCCGCUCAACGGGUGGGCGUCCGGCGGAAACCAGGUAGCUUGGGGCCGGAAGACCAGAGGGGUACGUCCGGGGUAGGAGUGAAAUCCCGUAAUCCUGGACGGACCACCGGUUGCGAAAGCGCCUCUGGAGGACGGACCCGACGGUGAGGGACGAAAGCUUGGGUCUCGAACCGGAUUAGAUACCCGGGUAGUCCAAGCUGUAAACGAUGCUCGCUAGGUGCGGCGCAGGCUACGAGCCUGCGCUGUGCCGUAGGGAAGCCGAGAAGCGAGCCGCCUGGGAAGUACGUCCGCAAGGAUGAAACUUAAAGGAAUUGGCGGGGGAGCAC
rnacentral:rRNA from 1 species